ensembl:snoRNA
CUGCAUCCACUGAUAGACCUGAAGCAAGCUUCAUUGGCUUCUGUGUUUGCAUAGAGAUGCUAAAGUAAAUUUCCUCUCGCUUUCUGUCUGCUGGUUUAUGGCAGCACAGAUUGAAUUGAGGAAUACAUAU